GAAUUCCAGGUGUAGCGGUGAAAUGCGUAGAGAUCUGGAGGAAUACCGAUGGCGAAGGCAGCCAUCUGGCCUAAUACUGACACUGAGGUGCGAAAGCAUGGGGAGCAAACAGGAUUAGAUACCCUGGUAGUCCAUGCCGUAAACGAUGUCUACUAGCCGUUGGGGGAUUUGAUCCUUUAGUGGCGCAGCUAACGCGAUAAGUAGACCGCCUGGGGAGUACGGUCGCAAGACUAAAACUCAAAUGAAUUGACGGGGGCCCGCACAAGCGGUGGAGCAUGUGGUUUAAUUCGAUGCAACGCGAAGAACCUUACCUGGCCUUGACAUAGUAGAGACUUUCCAGAGAUGGAUUGGUGCCUUCGGGAAUCUACAUACAGGUGCUGCAUGGCUGUCGUCAGCUCGUGUCGUGAGAUGUUGGGUUAAGUCCCGCAACGAGCGCAACCCUUUUCCUUACUUGCCAGCAUUUCGGAUGGGAACUUUAAGGAUACUGCCAGUGACAAACUGGAGGAAGGCGGGGACGACGUCAAGUCAUCAUGGCCCUUACGGCCAGGGCUACACACGUGCUACAAUGGUCGGUACAAAGGGUUGCUACACAGCGAUGUGAUGCUAAUCUCAAAAAGCCGAUCGUAGUCCGGAUCGCAGUCUGCAACUCGACUGCGUGAAGUCGGAAUCGCUAGUAAUCGCGGAUCAGAAUGCCGCGGUGAAUACGUUCCCGGGCCUUGUACACACCGCCCGUCACACCAUGGGAGUUUGU
rnacentral:rRNA from 1 species